AGAAUCAACGCUGGCGGCGUGCCUAACACAUGCAAGUCGAACGAGAAAGUGGAGCAAUCCAUGAGUAAAGUGGCGACCGGGUGAGUAACACGUGACUAACCUACCUUCGAGUGGGGGAUAACAUCGGGAAACCGAUGCUAAUACCGCAUAACAUCGCAAGAUCAAAGCAGCAAUGCGCUGGAAGAGGGGGGUCGCGGCUGAUUAGCUAGGUUGGCGGGGUAACGGCCCACCAAGGCGAAGAUCGGGUA
rnacentral:rRNA from 1 species